rnacentral:rRNA from 1 species
UACAGAGGUGGCAAGCGUUGUUCGGAAUUACUGGGCGUAAAGGGCGCGUAGGCGGCCCGCCAAGUCCCGUGUGAAAGCCCCCGGCUCAACCGGGGAACGGCGCGGGAAACUAGCAGGCUUGAGUUCGGGAGAGUGAAGCGGAAUUCCGGGUGUAGCGGUGAAAUGCGCAGAUAUCCGGAGGAACACCGGUGGCGAAGGCGGCUUCCUGGACCGACACUGACGCUGAGGCGCGACAGCUAGAAGAGCAAACGGG